UUUCCUGCCCCUCUCACUAUUUCCCUCCCCGUUUGCUGAAGUCCGGUUUAGCGCCAUCGUUCAGAAAGAGCAGGGCCCGAAGCUGGGCGCGGUCCUCCAGGCGAGGCCUCGUGGUGCCAACUAGAGCAGAAGAAUCGCUCCGCUCGCCUUGCAAGUGCCACUGCUGUCAGUGCAGCCGGGUCUGCCUUCGCGCAGCCUGGUCCGCUGCUGCCUUUUUUGCAACAAGAGUGCGCUGUUGGCUCAUACUUGCCAUACGGGCCCGUACGGGGACAGUGAUUUGAUUUGGUGAUUCGAAUUACUGUCCAGAUUCGAUUUGGCCGAAUCUGACUCGGAGAUGGGCCUGAAUCGGCCAGGCCCAGCCCCUGCCUGCUCUCCCAGCCGGGUAUUGAAUGCCCCAGCUCCCGGCACUUGCUGGGGGGGGAAAAAGCCCUGACUCAGCAGCAGCUGCUGGGUGGGGGGGCAAUCCCUGCUACCCCUCACUGCCCCACACUGCAUGGGGGGCUCUCCACAAGCCCCAGGACUCCCCCUCUCACUCCCCCAGCCCCCCCACGGGUGCCCCUUCUGUGCCAGCUCCGGCCCUUUAAGAAGAAAAAAACAGAAAAAAACCCGGGCCUCACUGCUCCUGCCGGUGGGAGGUGAUCCCUGCUGCCCCCCGUAGCCCCACGCAGCCCCACGCCACAUGAGGGGCUCUGCAUGAGCCCCCAAAGCCCAGAUGCUGCUGCAGGAGUGGGAUCGGGACUCCCCCACCGUGAUUCAAGAUGGACUUGAGGGGAACGCCUCCAGACCUAAGGUUGAGGAGGACCGGGUUAGAGUGCUACUGGAGGGGCUGGACGUGUUCAAAUCAGCAGGUCCAGAUGCUCUGCACUCCAGGGUGUUGAGGAAGCUAGCAGGGGUUAUUGCAGGGCCCUUGGCAUGGCUUUACGAGCGCUCGUGGUGCUUGGGCCAGGUGCCAGAUGAUUGGAAGAUAGCCAAUGCGGUCCCCAUCUUUAAAAAAGGGAGGAGGGAGGACCCGGGCAACUAUAGGUCCGUCAGUCUUACCUCAAUCCUGGGGAAACUCUGAGAAGAUCAUCAAGGAGCAGAUCUGUGAUGGGCCAGCAUCGGGGAUGAUGCUCAAGGGCAACCAGCACGGUUUCAUUAGGGGCAGGUCAUGUCAGACCAACCUGACUGCCUUUUACGAUCAGGUCACAAGAGCAUUGGAUGCAGGUGUCGCCGUGGAUGUAGUCUUUCUGGACUUCAGCAAGGCCUUUGACACUGUCAACCACCCCAUCCUCAUUAAAAAACUAGGCGACUGUGGCAUCGAUGCCUACACAGUCAGAUGGGUUGCAAAUUGGCUGAAGGGUCAUACUCGGAGGGUGUUGGUGGACAGGUCAUAUUUGACCUGGGGGGAAGUGGGCAGCGGAGUCCCCCAGGGCUCGGGUCUUAGGCCCACACUGUUCAAUUUCUUUAUCAGCGAUUUGGAUGACGGGGUGAAAAUCAACCUGUUCAAAUUUCCUGAUGAUAGCAAAAUAUGGGGUGAAGUGGGCAUGUCAGCAGGGAGGGGAAAGACUGCAGAAAGACCUGGAUAGGGUGCAGGGGUGGGCUAACAAAAACAAGAUGCAUUUCAAUACUGACAAGUGCAGGGUGCUGCACUUGGGCAGGAGUAACCAGCAGCACACUUAUAAGAUGGGAAAUUCCCUUGUUGAGAGCACGGAGGCAGAAAGGGAUCUUGAAGUCAUCAUUGACUCCAAGAUGAACAUGGGCCAACAAUAUGAGGUCACGGUCGGCAGGGCUAACCGGACCUUAUCGUGCAUCCACAGGUGCAUCUCAAGUAGGGCCAAGGAGGUGAUCCUCCCCCUCUACGCGACACUGGUCAGCCCGCAGCUGGAGUACUGUGUCCAGUUCUGGGCACCCCACUUCAAGAGGGAUGUGGACAACAUUGAGAGGGUCCAGAGGAGGGCCACCCACAUGAUCCAGGGACAGCAGGGCAGACCCUAUAAUGAGAGGCUAUGGGACCUGAAUCUGUUCAGCCUUCACAAGAGAAGGCUGAGGGGGGACCUGGUGACCGUUUAUAAACUCACUAGGGGGGACCAGAAGAGUUUGAGGGAGACCUUGUUUCCCCUAGCGCCCCCCAGGAUAACAAGGAAUAACGGCCACAAGUUGUUGGAGAGUAGGUUUAGAUUAGACAUCCGUAAGAACUACUUCACAGUUAGGGCAAAUAGGAUCUGGAACCAACUUCCAAGGGAAGUGGUGCUGGCUCCUACCCUGGUGGUCUUUAAGAAGCGACUCGAUGCCUACCUGGCUGGGGUCAUUUGAGCCCAGUUUUCUUCCCGCCCAGGCAGGGGGGGGCAGACUUGAAGAUCUACAAGGUCCCUUCCGACCCAACUUCUAUGAUUCUAUGAACCCUCAGCACAGAAUUUAGGAUCCUACUGGCAGAAAUCUACGUUCUACAUGUGACAGUUUUAUUUUCACUCAAUAGCAACAGCUCCAAGCAUUUUGCUGACAUGUUCAUCAUAACUCUUUGCUGCCUUUGGUACUACUGUUUAGGGGCUGAGGGUUCAUCGGAGGGAAACAGGUAUCUUACCAUCACGGCUUUAGGACAAUGUUUGCCCAAGCUAGCUAGAUGAAAGCGAACUCAAAUAUAUUUAUACAUGUUGCAAUCUCAUUCUGUUUACAGAGGCUUGGAUCCAAUUGUGCCUUAGUAUUGACCGUUCUGUCUCU